rnacentral:ribozyme from 1 species
GAAUGAAGAAGAAUGAAAGGGUAAGUGAGGAACGAGCGCACGCCUUUCCUUCUUCUUUCACUCACCACACGUCCUUCAGUGUCUUCUCCUAGUUGUAGCUCUUGGUUUGUCUUUUUUCUUAUUAAAAUACAAAUGAAAGGAACUGAAUGCGUGAUUUUAAUUAGAAAAAAGAACAAACAA